rnacentral:rRNA from 1 species
CAGCAGCCACGGUAAUACGAAGGGUGCAAGCGUUACUCGGAAUUACUGGGCGUAAAGCGUGUGUAGGUGGUUGUUUAAGUCUGUCGUGAAAGCCCUGGGCUCAACCUGGGAAUUGCGAUGGAUACUGGGCGACUAGAGUGCGGUAGAGGAUAGUGGAAUUUCCGGUGUAGCAGUGAAAUGCGUAGAGAUCGGAAGGAACAUCUGUGGCGAAGGCGACUAUCUGGGCCAACACUGACACUGAGACACGAAAGCGUGGGGAGCAAACAGGAUUAGAUACCCCUGUAGUCCCUGUCUCUUAUAA